AGAAUCAACGCUGGCGGCGUGCCUAACACAUGCAAGUCGAACGAGAAAGUGGGAGCAAUCCCAUGAGUAAAGUGGCGCACGGGUGAGUAACACGUGACUAACCUACCCUUGAGUGGGGGAUAAACCUAGGGAAACCUGGGCUAAUACCGCAUAAUACCUACGGGUCAAAGGAGCAAUUCGCUUUAGGAGGGGGUCGCGGCAGAUUAGUUAGUUGGCGGGGUAAUGGCCCACCAAGACAGUGAUCUGUA
rnacentral:rRNA from 1 species